GACGAACGCUGGCGGCGUGCUUAACACAUGCAAGUCGAACGGAAAGGCCCCUUUGGGGGUACUCGAGUGGCGGACGGGUGGGUAACACGUGGGUAACCUGCCCUUGGCUUCGGGAUAACUUCAGGGAACUGGGGCUAAUACCGGAUAGGUAUCCUUGCUGCAUGGUGGGGGUUGGAAAGCUUCGGCGGUUUUGGAUGGACUCGCGGCUUAUCAGCUUGUUGGGGGGGGUGUGGCUUACCAAGGCUUUGACGGGUAGACGGCCUGAGGGGGGGAACGGCCACAUUGGGACUGAGAUACGGCCCAGACUCCUACGGGAGGCAGCAGUGGGGAAUAUUGCACAAUGGGCGGAAGCCUGAUGCAGAAACGCCGCGUGCGGGAUGACGGCCUUCGGGUGGUAAACCGCUUUCAGCAGGGGCGAAGCUUGUGGUGACGGUACCUGCAGAAGAAGCACCGGCUAACUACGUG
rnacentral:rRNA from 1 species